GCGAUCAUACCAGCACUAAUGCACCGGAUCCCAGCAGAACUUCGAAGUUAAGAGUGCUUGGGCGAGAGCAGUACUUGGAUCGGUGAUCCCCAGGGAUGUCCUCGUGUUGCACCU
rnacentral:rRNA from 1 species